rnacentral:rRNA from 1 species
CCUACGGGUGGCAGCAGUAGGGAAUAUUGCUCAAUGGGGGAAACCCUGAAGCAGCAACGCCGCGUGGAGGAUGAAGGUUUUAGGAUUGUAAACUCCUUUUGUUAGAGAAGAUUAUGACGGUAUCUAACGAAUAAGCACCGGCUAACUCCGUGCCACAAGCCGCGGUAAUACGGAGGGUGCAAGCGUUACUCGGAAUCACUGGGCGUAAAGAGUGCGUAGGCGGGGUAAUAAGUCAGAUGUGAAAUCCUGUAGGUUAACUAGAGAACUGCAUUUGAAACUGUUACUCUGGAGUGUGCGAGAGGUAGGCGGAAUGCUUGGUGUAGGGGUAAAAUGCGUAGAGAUCAAGAAGAAUACUCAUUGCGAAGGCGACCUGCUGGAACAUAACUGACGCUGAUGCACGAAAGCGUGGGUAGCAAACAGGAUUAGAUACCCGAGUAGUC